ensembl:lncRNA
GUAGAGGAAGGACAUCAGUAAUAGAUGGUUGAGGGUAGAGGAAGGACAUCAGUAAUAGAUGGGAGGGGUUGAGGGUAGAGGAAGGACAUCAGUAAUAGAUAGGAGAGGUUGAGGGUAGAGGAAGGACAUCAGUAAUAGAUGGGAGAGGUUGAGGGUAGAGGAAGGACAUCAGUAAUAGAUGGGAGAGGUUGAGGGGAGAGGAAGGACAUCAGUAAUAGAUGGUUGAGGGUAGAGGAAGGACAUCAGAAAUAGAUGGGAGAGGUUGAGGGUAGAGGAAGGACAUCAGUAAUAGAUGGUUGAGGUUGAGGCUAGAGGAAGGACAUCAGAAAUAGAUGGUUGAGGUUGAGGCUAGAGGAAGGACAUCAGUAAUAGAUGGUUGAGGGUAGAGGAAGGACAUCAGUAAUAGAUGGUUGAGGAUAGAGGAAGGACAUCAGUAAUAGAUGGUUGAGGGUAGAGGAAGGACAUCAGUAAUAGAUGGUUGAGGGUAGAGGAAGGACAUCAGUAAUAGAUGGUUGAGGGUAGAGGAAGGACAUCAGUAAUAGAUGGUUGAGGGUAGAGGAAGGACAUCAGUAAUAGAUGAGAGAG